rnacentral:rRNA from 1 species
GCCAGCAGCCAUAUCACCCAUAUCAUAUCACCAUAUCACAACUAGCAACCCACUGCAGCUAAGCAGGUGUGAGCCUGGUCAGUACCUGGAUAGGAGACGUCCUGGGGAAAUCUAAGGUUGCUGCUGGAU